rnacentral:lncRNA from 1 species
GGAAUAUUCUAGAAGUACAUCCAGGGGUUAUCGUGAAGGAUUACACAGGACAUCACACUCACACACACCUUUACCCAGAUUAUAUGACCGAAACCAGGUAUUUAGUAACAGUUGUUGUGGUGCCCCGUGGACGUCUAUCUGCUGUUCUGUAAUUACCUAGACUGUACCCGGAUGUGAGGUCUUCCAGGACAGAAAUCAUUCUCUGUGUCCUCAACAGGAUGCGCAGGGCCAGGCACACAGUAGUUGCUCUAUAUAAGUGUCUCUACUCAUUGAGUCAAAUGGCACCUGAUUUUACAGAUAGGGAGACACCCAGAGGUGGCAGAUGGUUCCUUCAGGUGGCAUCGAUGGUCAGUGGCAGAGCCAUAAUGGAACCCGGUACUCCUGGCCCUUCAUCUGGGGCAUAUGGCUGGGAAAUGUCCUGGGAAGAAGAACGUGGGGUGGAAUCAAAAUAUACCCAGUCUGCAAGUGGGAGGAACUUGUCUUUUUAGCCAGACCCGGGGUUGCUUGCCAGAAUCACCGUUUCCUUUAUAGCAUUCACACCCCCGAACCCGACUUUGCAUGGUGCCCACCCAGCCGAACCUUCCCUCUGCAGGGUGUGGCUUUGUCUAUCCAUUCUUACUCCCAGGCUUCUGAGUUUUGCAGAAGAGACCACCUGACUGGGCAGGAUGCCGUCAUUGUGGACCUGUGGAUUCUUGUCCCUGAUGAUGUACCUGGCACUCGAGGGACCUUUGUUGACAGAAUAUGUGAGUGAAUGAAUGAAGGAGUUGGUCUAGUCCAACUUCCAUCCCCAAGGUCCUUGAAG